rnacentral:rRNA from 1 species
GGUGAACGCUGGCGGCGUGCCUAAUACAUGCAAGUCGAGCGGGGCAGGUUUAUACCUGUUCAGCGGCGGACGGGUGAGUAACGCGUGGGUGACCUACCCGGAAGAAGCGGACAACCUGGGGAAACCCAGGCUAAUCCGCCAUGUGGCCCUAUCCUGUGGGGUAGGACUAAAUGGGCGACCCGCUUCCGGAUUGGCCCGCGUCCCAUCAGCUAGUUGGUGGGGUAAAGGACCACGAAGGCGACGACGGGUAGCCGGUCUGAGAGGAUGGCCGGCCACAGGGGCACUGAGCCACGGGCCCCAGUCCCACGGGAGGCAGCAGUGAGGAAGCUGCCGGAAUGGACGGGAGUCUGACGGAGAGACGCCGCGUGGAGGAGGAAGUCAUUCGGGGUGUAAAGUGCUGAACUGGGGACGAAAGCCCUGUGUAGGGGGAGGACGGUACCAAGGUAAUAGCGCCGGCUAACUCCGUG